rnacentral:lncRNA from 1 species
GCAAAGCAAGAUAUGAUAUCAAAACAAAUGUCAAAUAUCAGCACAUAAUAGCACACAGUAUUUAUAUCCGAGUAGCACAUGCAAAAUUAAACGCUACAAGCACUAGCACAAGUAAGAGACUGUAUGCGGCUAAAGCACAGGUUAUGCAUAAGCAAAAUAAAUAAAUAAAUAAAAAAAAUAACUGCAAACCAGAUGCUCCGCAGGGCGUAGCUUUAUACGACCGCAGAGGUUGAACCCUGAACAGUUGGGGCAAGUAUGGACACAACAUUCAAGCUGGAUUCAGCUCUAAAUUUGGAUUGUGAUUAAAUAGUUGACACAGCAUAGGUUUCUGACACAGAAUGAAUGUGUUCUAAUGAACUUAAAAUUUUUGUUUUCUCUUAGAGCAAUUCACUAUGCUGUUGAAUAUUAAUCCUCUCAAAAAAAUGUUUGAAGAAAUUUUCUUUUUUAUUUAUGAAAUUUCAAUGAGAAAAAU